rnacentral:rRNA from 1 species
UACGAAGGGGGCUAGCGUUGUCCGGAUUUACUGGGCGUAAAGAGCGCGCAGGCGGUCGUUCAAGUCGAGUGUGAAAGCCCCCGGCUCAACUGGGGAGGGUCACUCGAUACUGAUCGACUCGAAGGCAGGAGAGGGAAGCGGAAUUCCCGGUGUAGUGGUGAAAUGCGUAGAUAUCGGGAGGAACACCAGUGGCGAAGGCGGCUUUCUGGCCUGUUCUUGACGCUGAGGCGCGAAAGCUAGGGUAGCAAACGGG